UUCUUAUCAAGAGUAGGCAGAGGGACUAGCCCAAUGAAGCCCGGCAACCGACUUCUAUGAAGCACGGUGCUAAUUCUUGCAGCAAGCGCUGAGAGAUAAGAU
rfam:Bacillus pumilus SAFR-032, complete genome.